rnacentral:rRNA from 1 species
CGGGAGGCAGCAGUGGGGAAUAUUGGACAAUGGGGGCAACCCUGAUCCAGCGACGCCGCGUGGGUGAUGAAGGCCUUCGGGUCGUAAAGCCCUUUUGCCGGGGACGAUGAUGACGGUACCCGGAGAAGAAGCACCGGCUAACUCUGUGCCAGCAGCCGCGGUAAUACAGAGGGUGCGAGCGUUAAUCGGAAUUACUGGGCGUAAAGCGAGUGUAGGUGGCUCAUUAAGUCACAUGUGAAAUCCCCGGGCUUAACCUGGGAACUGCAUGUGAUACUGGUGGUGCUAGAAUAUGUGAGAGGGAAGUAGAAUUCCAGGUGUAGCGGUGAAAUGCGUAGAGAUCUGGAGGAAUACCGAUGGCGAAGGCAGCUUCCUGGCAUAAUAUUGACACUGAGAUUCGAAAGCGUGGGUAGCAAACAGGAUUAGAUACCCUGGUAGUCCACGCCGUAAACGAUGUCUACUAGCCGUUGGGGUCCUUGAGACUUUAGUGGCGCAGUUAACGCGAUAAGUAGACCGCCUGGGGAGUACGGCCGCAAGGUUAAAACUCAAAUGAAUUGACGGGGGCCCGCACAAGCGGUGGAGCAUGUGGUUUAAUUCGAUGCAACGCGAAGAACCUUACCUGGUCUUGACAUAGUGAGAAUCUUUCAGAGAUGAGAGAGUGCCUUCGGGAAUUCACAUACAGGUGCUGCAUGGCUGUCGUCAGCUCGUGUCGUGAGAUGUUGGGUUAAGCCCCGCAACGAGCGCAACCCUCGUUCUAUGUUGCCAGCACGUGAUGGUGGGGACUCAUAGGAGACUGCCGGGGUCAACUCGGAGGAAGGUGGGGAUGACGUCAAAUCAUCAUGCCCCUUAUGACCUGGGCUACACACGUGCUACAAUGGUCGGUACAGAGGGUUGCCAAGCCGCGAGGUGGAGCUAAUCCCAUAAAACCGAUCGUAGUCCGGAUCGCAGUCUGCAACUCGACUGCGUGAAGUAGGAAUCGCUAGUAAUCGUGGAUCAGAAUGCCACGGUGAAUACGUUCCCGGGCCUUGUACACACCG